rnacentral:rRNA from 1 species
GACAGAGGAUGCAAGCGUUAUCCGGAAUGAUUGGGCGUAAAGCGUCUGUAGGUGGCUUUUUAAGUCCGCCGUCAAAUCCCAGGGCUCAACCCUGGACAGGCGGUGGAAACUACCAAGCUGGAGUACGGUAGGGGCAGAGGGAAUUUCCGGUGGAGCGGUGAAAUGCGUAGAUAUCAAGAGGAACACCAGUGGCGAAGGCGAGUCCCUGGACGAUACCUGACACUGAGGCACGAAAGCCAAGGGAGCAAACAGG